GACGUAGGGCGCAAGCGUUGUCCGGAUUUAUUGGGCGUAAAGAGCUCGUAGGCGGCUUGCCACGUCUGCCGUGAAAACCAGCAGCUUAACUGUUGGCUUGCGGUUGAUACGGGUUGGCUGGAGUUCGGUAGGGGAGACUGGAAUUCCCGGUGUAGUGGUGAAAUGCGUAGAUAUCGGGAGGAACACCAGUGGCGAAGGCGACUACCUGGCCUGUUCUUGACGCUGAGGCGCGAAAGCUAGGGGAGCAAACGGG
rnacentral:rRNA from 1 species